AUUGAACGCUGGCGGCAGGCUUAACACAUGCAAGUCGAGCGGAGAUGAGGUGCUUGCACCUUAUCUUAGCGGCGGACGGGUGAGUAAUGCUUAGGAAUCUGCCUAUUAGUGGGGGACAACAUUCCGAAAGGAAUGCUAAUACCGCAUACGCCCUACGGGGGAAAGCAGGGGAUCUUCGGACUUUGCGCUAAUAGAUGAGCCUAAGUCGGAUUAGCUAGUUGGUGGGGUAAAGGCCUACCAAGGCGACGAGCGGUAGCGGGUCUGAGAGGAUGAUCCGCCACACUGGGACUGAGACACGGCCCAGACUCCUACGGGAGGCAGCAGUGGGGAAUAUUGGACAAUGGGCGGAAGCCUGAUCCAGCCAUGCCGCGUGUGUGAAGAAGGCCUUUUGGUUGUAAAGCACUUUAAGCGAGGAGGAGGCUACCUGGAUUAAUACUCUAGGAUAGUGGACGUUACUCGCAGAAUAAGCACCGGCUAGCUCUGUGCCAGCAGCCGCAGUAAAAC
rnacentral:rRNA from 1 species